rnacentral:tmRNA from 1 species
GGGGAUGUAUUUGGUUUUGACAUUGAUGACUCAAGUCAUCUAAUCGCAAUCCAGGCAUCGUGCUGUCUGCCUGCUAAUUAGUCCAGCGCAAUAUAAGUGCAAAUACUUAUAAAUCUUUGAGCGCAAGUAAAGCUCCUGCUCGUACUUUUGUACCUGCAUUUGCUUAUGCUUAAACUCAUUACGGUUACCAAUUCGUAACCUCGUCCUUCAAAGCGACACCUGCUGACUUUGUUGGGCGUAAUUUAGCAGGUUAAGCAUUUGUUCCGCAUUUGGAGGGAUAAAUGUCUACAACCUAAUCCAAAUAAGCGAUAGUGCUUUUGUUUGUCUUUAUGCUAUCGCCGACAAUUUUAAACAAACUAUGAUUGUAGAAGUUUUUUGACUUCAUCUUUGGACCCCGGUUCGACUCCGGGCAUCUCCACCA